UGCUUUAAAAGGAGAUUUUGUAAGGUACCUUGCUGUGGAUUUAUUCAAAAGUUUUAUAUGCAAAAUAUGUAAGUAUUCUUAUGCCACAUUUACUUAAGACUAAUGGCACAAAGCUUUUUGAAGUUUUCCUGAAAUGACAUUUGCAGAUGCAUGUUGAUCUCAUCUAUUGAAUUUAUUUAUAUUGGUGUGAGUUGGUGUAUUUGCAGCUAUCUAAUACAAUAAUCAUUUCUUUCUUCUGACAAGAGAUUGUAAAUAUCAUUAAUAAAACAUCUGGUUUUGUAUGAGUAAUUUUAUGCAUAGAGAUACUAUUUAAACAUAAGUUUAAUGAAACUAGUCAAUUGUACUAAAGUAUUAAUUAGAAGAAACUUCAAAGAGAUUUAAUGAUGCGAAAAAUUCCUGUCCCUUAAGUGUCAAGGCAUUAAAGCACAUGGUACUUUUCUAAACUUUUCCCUACAGUUUUCAUCAUUGCCCUUUGACACUAUGAUGACUGGUGCAGUGCUUUUGAGGUGCACUUACAGUUCAAUGUUUAUAGCAACUUUACUGUUGCAUUUGACUUAUUCUAUUGCGUUCUCUCUGUUUGGAUAUGUUUGUAUAUAUUGAAAUCUUUGUGCUUUAUCUUUUCCUGCAAUUAGUGUUUUUAACUGUAGAGGAGUGAUAUUAAUAUAUAUUGGUGUCAAGAUCAGUAUUCAUCAUUUAAUUCAUGGAUCUCAACAAAUGGGGGACCUAGCAGUCUUAUUUUUCUAAGAUGCAGUGUGACAAUUUUAUAAUGACUCACUUCAUAUUCUCUUUUUGCUCAUUGCAAUACUCCCUACUUUUGAUGCUUUUGGUCAAAAAGCUUCAUUAUAUACUUCAGUCUCUGCAGUCAUGUUGGCCGUAUUUGCUUGCAUUGAUAUUCUCACACUUUGGUCACUCACUCCUGUUGUAUUGCAGAUGUGGCCAGCGGACAGCCCAA
rnacentral:misc_RNA from 1 species